rnacentral:rRNA from 1 species
GAUGAACGCUGGCGGCGUGCCUAAUACAUGCAAGUCGAGCGAACGGACGAGAAGCUUGCUUCUCUGAUGUUAGCGGCGGACGGGUGAGUAACACGUGGAUAACCUACCUAUAAGACUGGGAUAACUUCGGGAAACCGGAGCUAAUACCGGAUAAUAUUUUGAACCGCAUGGUUCAAAAGUGGACGGUCUUGCUGUCACUUAUAGAUGGAUCCGCGCUGCAUUAGCUAGUUGGUAAGGUAACGGCUUACCAAGGCAACGAUGCAUAGCCGACCUGAGAGGGUGAUCGGCCACACUGGAACUGAGACACGGUCCAGACUCCUACGGGAGGCAGCAGUAGGGAAUCUUCCGCAAUGGGCGAAAGCCUGACGGAGCAACGCCGCGUGAGUGAUGAAGGUCUUCGGAUCGUAAAACUCUGUUAUUAGGGAAGAACAUAUGUGUAAGUAACUGUGCACAUCUUGACGGUACCUAAUCAGAAAGCCACGGCUAACUACGUG